UGUGCUGCUUGCCCAGGGCCUGAUGCGGCGCGGUUCUGGGCCUCCAGGGCCUGCUGCAGUGCGGGCAGAGGCACAGCGGGGUGCGAGCCCUCUGCUCCGACCCCACGGGCACGUGGCUGUGACCUAGGCCCACGUCCCUGGUGUGGGAUACUCAGCGCUACUGACCGCUGAGCUCCUUACUGCGAGGCCACGCAGGAGUUAACAGCCCACGACUGCGUCCUGGCCUGGCAGGGUCCUGGGAGAUGGCUGUGGAGAGCCUCGGGCCGCUGUCCAGCUCCAGACUGAAAUUUACAGCGCCUGGGUGCUCCAGGCCAGCAGAGCCCUUCCUGCAGGCUGCGCGCCUUCCCAGCCGGAUGCAGAUGGAUGGCCGGACCCGCACCAGCACGAGGCUCUGGGGAGGGCUGAGGUGCUCUGCGAGAGGCAUUUACUGGAGAACAUACAUGCCCUUCCCCAGCUGCUAAGGACAGAGAGACAGCAGGGCUCAGGAUCCAAAAAUCUGCUGCUCCCAGGCCCCCCUUCUAGCGAAGUCUGAUGGCCUGCACCUGCCUGCUGCGUGGGAAUGAGCUUGCGCUGCUGCCCGCUGCUGUGAACAUACCUGCUUUGGCAGACCUCAUUACUGGAGGUGCUCAAGUCCAAGAUAGCCUCUCAGGUCAAGCAAAGAAAAACCCAUUCCACCUCCUCAAAUGAGAAGUCUGCUGGCCUCCCCUCCGGGCUUCCUUUUCCAACAUUACCAGAAGGAAAUGUAAGUAAAUGUAGGUCCUCGCACUCGCGUGCGGUGCGGGGCUGCCGGCCCAGCAACCACCCCCGGCUGGAGCGGGCGCAAGGCUCCGUUUCCUGCGGGGACGGCGCCAGGCAGCUGGGCAGAGCAGGACGGCCGCGCUGGGAGCAGCUCUGCGGGGCGGGCAGCAGCGCAGCCCUGCUUUCAGGAGGAACAAGGCGGAGGGAAGGGCCGUUGUCCCCCACUGCUGCUGGGCACAAGGGAGCAGGGCGUAGUUCUGCUCACUCUCAUCGCAAGCGGUGACCAGAAGGCUUUGUAGCUCUCGAAGCAGGUCAGUGCCAAAUGCAGGUUUCUGCCUCGGGCGCACGAUUCAAUCCUGUACGAGGCUUCUGGCCCAGCUGCAGCAGAAGCAAUGCGUUGCCUAAGUUUGUGUUCUGUGCUGAGCAGAUGGGCAGAGACCGUCUUCCUCCCUUCCCGGGCACAGAUUCCUGUCUCGGGGCUGCAGUUGGGGCUGCCCAGCUGGCAGUUACCUUUCAGGCUUUGUCCCAGGCUGGGGUUUUGCUGGGGGUCUCCAAAUUCCACUGAAGCUACGGGUGGGAGAGCCUUGGAUCCUGCGCAGGAGGUUCCAGUACAGCUCUGCACACGAGUGGCUGGGGGAGCGGAGGGGAGGAACAGCACAGGGUGCUCACAGCAACCCCAGAACAAACUAAAGUGGGGGGACCAUGGCUGCAGCCAGGGCAGGGGUCAGGUUUAAAAGGACCUGUGUUGCCGCUGACUUGAGCUCAUUUCCUCCUUUAGCAAGAACAAAGUUGAGCAAGAUAUUCCAGGAAAGGAUCCAGAGCAAUCUGUCACCUCGUGAUGCAAACAAGACAGGAGGACUUGAAAAUGAAAAAGGUGCUCUUCCCUUCCCCCAUUAAAUUAAAAGUGUUUUGGAAAUAAAGGACAUCAAGGCUGGAUUUA